AGAAUCAACGCUGGCGGCGUGCUUAACACAUGCAAGUCGAGUGCGCGUCUGUGGCAAUACAGAUGGCGCACGGCGCACGGGUGCGUAACACGUGGGUAAUCUGCCCUUCGAAGGGGAAUAACUCGCCGAAAGGCGAGCUAAUUCCGCAUAACAUUCCGAGGACUUUGGUUUUCGGAUUCAAAGGCGUAAGUCGUCGGAGGAGGAGCCCGCGCACGAUUAGCUAGUUGGUAGGGUAACGGCCUACCAAGGCUAUGAUCGUUAGCUGGUCUGAGAGGAUGGCCAGCCACACUGGAACUGAGACACGGUCCAGACUCCUACGGGAGGCAGCAGUGGGGAAUCUUGCACAAUGGGCGAAAGCCUGAUGCAGCGACGCCGCGUGGGGGAUGAAGCUUCUCGGAGUGUAAACCCCUUUCGACCCGGACGAAAACCUCGCAAGAGGAUUGACGGUACGGGUAUAAGGAGCCCCGGCUAACUACGUGCCAGCAGCCGCGGUAAGACGUAGGGGGCCAGCGUUGCUCGGAAUUACUGGGUGUAAAGGGUUCGUAGGCGGUGUGGCAAGUCGGGAGUGAAAUCUCUGGGCUCAACCCAGAGGCUGCUUCCAAAACUGCUGUGCUAGAGUGUGGGAGAGGCGCGUGGAAUUGCAGGUGUAGCGGUGAAAUGCGUAGAUAUCUGCAGGAACACCCGUGGCGAAAGCGGCGCGCUGGACCACUACUGACGCUGAGGAACGAAAGCUAGGGGAGCAAACAGGAUUAGAUACCCUGGUAGUCCUAGCCCUAAACGAUCAGGACUUGGGGUGCCACCCGUUCGGGUGUCGUCCCGGAGCUAACGCGUUAAGUCCUGCACCUGGGGAGUACGGUCGCAAGACU
rnacentral:rRNA from 1 species